rnacentral:rRNA from 1 species
GACGAACGCUGGCGGCGUGCCUAAUACAUGCAAGUUGAGCGCUGAAGGUUGGUACUUGUACCAACUGGAUGAGCAGCGAACGGGUGAGUAACGCGUGGGGAAUCUGCCUUUGAGCGGGGGACAACAUUUGGAAACGAAUGCUAAUACCGCAUAAAAACUUUAAACACAAGUUUUAAGAUUGAAAGAUGCAAUUGCAUCACUCAAAGAUGAUCCCGCGUUGUAUUAGCUAGUUGGUGAGGUAAAGGCUCACCAAGGCGAUGAUACAUAGCCGACCUGAGAGGGUGAUCGGCCACAUUGGGACGGAGACACGGCCCAAUCUACUAGGUGAGGCAGCAGUAGGGAUUCUUCUGCAAUGGAUGAAAGUCUGACCGAGCAACGCCGCGUGAGUUAAGAAGAUUUUCGGAUCGUAAAACUCUGUUGGUAGAGAAGAACGUUGGUGAGAGUGGAAAGCUCAUCAAGUGACGGUAACUACCCAGAAAGGGACGGCUAACUACGUG